rnacentral:rRNA from 1 species
GAUGAACGCUGGCGGCGCGCCUAAUACAUGCAAGUCGAGCGAACAGACGAGGAGCUUGCUCCUCUGACGUUAGCGGCGGACGGGUGAGUAACACGUGGAUAACCUACCUAUAAGACUGGGAUGACUUCGGGAAACCGGAGCUAAUACCGGAUAAUAUAUUGAACCGCAUGGUUCAAUAGUGAAAGACGGUUUUGCUGUCACUUAUAGAUGGAUCCGCGCCGCAUUAGCUAGUUGGUAAGGUAACGGCUUACCAAGGCAACGAUGCGUAGCCGACCUGAGAGGGUGAUCGGCCACACUGGAACUGAGACACGGUCCAGACUCCUACGGGAGGCAGCAGUAGGGAAUCUUCCGCAAUGGGCGAAAGCCUGACGGAGCAACGCCGCGUGAGUGAUGAAGGUCUUCGGAUCGUAAAACUCUGUUAUUAGGGAAGAACAAAUGUGUAAGUAACUAUGCACGUCUUGACGGUACCUAAUCAGAAAGCCACGGCUAACUACGUG